AAACAUCGCCUCUUGCAAACUUAAUAAAUAAGAGGUCCCGCCUGCCCUGUGACUAUUAGUUUAACGGCCGCGGUAUUUUGACCGUGCGAAGGUAGCGCAAUCACUUGUCUUUUAAAUGAAGACCUGUAUGAAUGGCAUAACGAGGGCUUAACUGUCUCCUCUUUCCAGUCAAUGAAAUUGAUCUUCCCGUGCAGAAGCGGGAAUACAAACAUAAGACGAGAAGACCCUAUGGAGCUUUAGACACCAAGGCAGAUCAUGUUAAUAACCCUCAAUAAAGGAUUAAACCAAAUGGAACCUGCCCUAAUGUCUUUGGUUGGGGCGACCGCGGGGAAUUGAAAAACCCCCACGUGGAAUGGGAGCACCCCUCCUACAGCUAAGAGCCACAGCUCUAGUAAACAGAAAUUCUGACCAGUAAGAUCCGGCAAUGCCGAUCAACGGACCGAGUUACCCUAGGGAUAACAGCGCAAUCCUCUUUUAGAGCCCAUAUCGACAAGGGGGUUUACGACCUCGAUGUUGGAUCAGGACAUCCUAAUGGUGCAGCCGCUAUUAAGGGUUCGUUUGUUCAACGAUUAAAGUCCUACGUGAUCUG
rnacentral:rRNA from 1 species